rnacentral:rRNA from 1 species
UACGGAGGAUGAAAGCGUUAUCCGGAAUUAUUGGGCGUAAAGCGCCCGUAGGUGGUUGAGUAAGUCUGCUGUUAAAGCGUGGAGCUUAACUCCAUACCGGCAGUGGAAACUACUGGACUAGAGUGCGGUAGGGGUCAGGGGAAUUCCCAGUGUAGCGGUGAAAUGCGUAGAUAUUGGGAAGAACACCGGUGGCGAAAGCGCCUGACUGAGCCUGCACUGACACUGAGGGACGAAAGCUAUGGGAGCGUAAGGG